AUGCACGCUGGCGGCGUGCCUAAUACAUGCAAGUCGAGCGAACGGACGGGAAGCUUGCUUCUCUGAUGUUAGCGGCGGACGGGUGAGUAACACGUGGAUAACCUACCUAUAAGACUGGGAUAACUUCGGGAAACCGGAGCUAAUACCGGAUAAUAUUUUGAACCGCAUGGUUCAAAAGUGAAAGACGGUCUUGCUGUCACUUAUAGAUGGAUCCGCGCUGCAUUAGCUAGUUGGUAAGGUAACGGCUUACCAAGGCAACGAUGCAUAGCCGACCUGAGAGGGUGAUCGGCCACACUGGAACUGAGACACGGUCCAGACUCCUACGGGAGGCAGCAGUAGGGAAUCUUCCGCAAUGGGCGAAAGCCUGACGGAGCAACGCCGCGUGAGUGAUGAAGGUCUUCGGAUCGUAAAACUCUGUUAUUAGGGAAGAACAUAUGUGUAAGUAACUGUGCACAUCUUGACGGUACCUAAUCAGAAAGCCACGGCUAACUACGUG
rnacentral:rRNA from 1 species